GAGGUAAGUUACAAAAAAUGUUAUCAAAUAUUUAUUAUUCAUAAUCAUUAAUUGUCAUAUAUACGUUAAUCAUAUUAGGCAAUUCCGUAGUUUUUAUUUAAGAAAAGUAAGAGAAUAUUAUUUUGUACACUAUUUAUCAAUUUAAUAGUUAGUUUGAUAAAAAAAUAUAAUAUAAGUUAAGAUGAACCAACCUAUUUUUCUAAGAAUUCUGAACUUCAUCCUUGUGGUGACACGUGACUACAAAAUAAUGUUCUAAUGUUUCUCAAUUAAUAUAUAAGGGAUGCUAUAAUUUUGUCCAAAAAAAAAAAGAAAAAUGCCAUAAUUACGUUGUCACUAUGCAUUUAUGUAUCUAGUCAUGUUAUUAAUUAUUUAUUAUUCCCUAUAUUUCAAAAAGAAAUUCUUUAAACACCAUUUAUAGUACUGAAAUAAAGGGAGUAAGAUACAUACACUAACGAAAAUAUGUAUUAACCUUCUUGUAGAACUCGGCCGCCUAGCCGAUUCGGCGGCCGAAAAAAGCUCUAUGGUGGCCAACCGCGGCGAGUUUAUAAGAUUUUUAAGGUGACUAUAUCGUUGUCACUGGGUGAAGGAGUGACUUGCUGACAUAAUACACCACAUAAUACUUGGCCAUAAUUGUUACAAGACCUUUAAUUUUACCUUUUAGAGUUGUCUGGUAGUAAGAGAAGAAAUUAGUCUGAUCUCCUUUUAUUUCCUUUAUGCCCCAUGUGGGUAGGAAAUUUGACUAGGUACGUGGUGGAGAGUAGAUGGGACGACUCUCAUGUCAUAGAUCUAGGGGAGCCAUAUUAUCAUAUUAUAGGAUGAAGUGCAGUUGAUCACCAUGAAAUUUGUAGACAACUUUUCUUACUGUUUGUUUACUUUGCUGCAGUACCCGAUGAGUGGUGUGAUUUUCCCGGGUCAGGACAUCUUUUUCCAAUUCUAAGUCGUUGUAGGCUAUUGGGAAAAUGACGUUUAUGAAGUUUCUGUUGUCCACUAGUAUCCUAUUCACCAAAAAAAUUCACAACCAUGAGAGACACGACCAGGGUGUUAUGGUGAGAAGCCAAAACUUUCUCUUGCUCUUUUGCUGUGAAGCUUAUAUUGACGGUUCCCAAGAGAACGCAUUUUGUUUUCCCCGUUUCUUGGUCAUUAUUGGCACUUCUGGUACUUUUCUUGGCAGUUACAUGUGUGAUGCCACUUAUCUCCGAGUCACCGGAUAUUAUGUCGAUUACCAUAUUGUGUCAAGGUAGUGAGGCAGGAGUAGUUCUGACCAGUUGGUUAUUCUCCUCUAUAUUUUGGAGGAUGUUUUUGGCUUUGUCGAAGAGGAAUUUCAGGAGGUAUUAUUUCUUUAAUAGUUAGUUAAUUUCCAUCUUUAGUGAGAUGCAGUCUUCCGUUUUGUGAACGUGGUCAUUAUGGAAUUCACACCAUAUGUUUCGAUUCCAGAAUGUUUAUGGUCAUUUAAUCUUCUGAGGUCUAUAUUGUUAAAGAUGUUUUUGGCUUUGUCAAAGAGGAAUUUCAGGAGGUAUUGUUUCUUUAA